rnacentral:lncRNA from 1 species
AAUCAGUUGAUCAACAACCCUCGUACAUCAAUGGAAACUAUAUAAAUAAAUAAAGCCGCGUUUGACGAGAAUUGAAGAGGGUUUUCACAAUUUCAUACCAGCUAUGAACUGGUGAGAUGCGUGGAUUAGUUUUUGAUCGGUGAAGAAAAACUUCAAAGUGAUGACAUAUGAGAGUGGUGAGUGAGUGUAUAGAGAGAGAAAAGUGUAGUGAAAGGAACGGAAGGAGAAAG